rnacentral:lncRNA from 1 species
GAUAGGGUGAGGGUGGGCACUCAGGGGCAGGGCUCAGUGGCGGGGGGCGGGGCUCAGGGCAAGGGUAGAGACGGGGUGAAAGUAGGAAUGGGGGUGUGAGGCCGAGGAUGGGGGUUUCAGGGGAGGUGGCCUUUAGGGCAGGAUAGGGGUGAGAAUGGGGUGGGGAUGGGCCUUAGGGAUCUCAGGGUCGGUUGGGAUGGGAGUGGGGGUGGGGGUAGAUGGUGAGGAGGAGAUGGGGUGUUCAGGGGAGGUGGUCCUCUGGCGGGAUAGAGGGAGGGGCGUUCAGGAGCCGGGCUUGGGAGCUCAGUCUGGAGCCCGCCACCGCGCCCGGCCUUUUUUUUGUAUUUUUAGUAGAGACAGGGUUUCACCAUGUUGGUCAGGCUGGUCUCCAACUCCUGACCUCGUGAUCUGCCUCCCAAAGUGCUGGGAUUACAGGCGUGAGCCACUGCGCUUGGCCCUGUCUACGAGUCUUUUUUUAGAUUUCCAUUCUUCCUAACACAUUUAAAAAGUUCCUCUUCACCCCAAAAUGGUAUAAGCAUGCACCUUUAUUUUCUUUGGAUA